AUCCAGCUGACGAGUCCCAAAUAGGACGAAACGCGCGUUCUGGUU
rnacentral:hammerhead_ribozyme from 1 species